GCCUUUGUAGCUCAGCUGGAUAGAGCGCUCCCCUCCUAAGGGAGAAGUCGUGAGUUCGAAUCUCGCCAAGGGCACCA
rnacentral:tRNA from 1 species